ACUGACUAAUCGCCAAUAACUCAAAACACAACAACAACAACUUGUUAUUGAUCGUGUUGCCGCGCCGGUAAAUUAUUUCUUUGAAGCUAAACAUGGAGGGAGUGCCGUCACCAUCACAUGACCCAGGUCAACCUGCUUCACUGACCCCAUCAAAUAGAAUGGUAGAACUGUAUGAGGCAUCCGUAGAUUUCACAGCUGGUGCUAUAGGUGGAGUAGCUUGCACAUUUGUGGGACAACCAUUUGACACAAUCAAAGUGAAAAUGCAGACAUACCCUCAACUGUAUCGGUCAUCAAUGCAUUGUCUGAAAGACACUGUAGGUCGGGAAGGUGCUAGAGGUUUGUUUGAAGGUACCACUCCUGCUCUAGCAGCCAUCGUUGGAGAAACAGCAUGUCUAUUUAUGUGCUAUGGACUCUGCCAAAAGGCUGUCUGCCAGGUUGUGGGUAUAAAGCAUGAGAGAGACUUGUCAAAUGUUCAGAAGGCCUUUAGUGGGUCAUGUGCAGCCUUCUUCUCAUCACUGGUGCUAUGUCCGACAGAGCUCAUCAAAUGCCGUAUGCAAGCUAUGAGUGAGAUUAUGUCAACGUCAGACUCUGUUAUCAAAAAAGUAGGGCCAUGGCAAGUUACUAAAGAUCUUAUCCGUAAAGAUGGUCCGCUAGGCUUGUUUCAAGGUCUCACUAGUACAUGGUUAAGAGAAAUGCCGGGGUACUUUGCAUUCUUCUUCGGUUAUGAGAUGAGCAAGACGUUACUUACACCACCUGGAAAAACAAAAGAAGAUUUGAGUUUUGCUAGGUUAACGGUAGCAGGUGGAAUAGCAGGUGCAUCUCUGUGGAUAGCUAUCUAUCCCAUUGAUGUCGUCAAAUCAAGAAUUCAAGUCCAGUCUCUAGUAGGCAAGAUGCCUGGUUUCCUUCCAACGUUAACCAAAAUGCUCAAGGUCGAGGGUGUAUCGUCGCUAUUCAGCGGUGUCUAUCCCUGCAUUUUACGAGCUUUCCCAGCUAAUGCUGCUAUGCUGCUUGCAUAUGAAGUUAGUAGAUCAUGGAUGAGGAACCAUAGACCACAUUGGAUAGACCAAUAUUAGCACCAGAUAUAGACCAGGUCCUGCCAUGUAAUCAUAGACCACAUUGGAUAGACCAAUAUUAGCACCAGAUAUAGACCAGGUCCUGCCAUGCAAUCAUAGAUCAUAUUAGAUAGACCAACAUCAGCACCACAAGGUACGGACUAGGUGCUGUCGUCAAAUCAAAGACCACACCGGAUAGACCAAUGUUCAUGCCACAUCAUGAAGGCCAAGUCAUAUCGCAUAAAGUAAGAUUGACUCUUGUUAUAUGCUGCGGACUGAACUAUAGAUUGCCACAUUGUGUGGAGUAUAUGGUUCUGCACAUUACGUAUGUGACAAAACUUGACUUGUUGUGGUGUACUAUUCAGUUAAUAGACUUUUAUGGUUUAAGGGUUAAUAACUGUACUCAUGUCACAAGCGCAUACAAUAUGACGUAACUUAUCUAUCAAUGUGUUUUUUUUUUAAUUAUGCACUUGCCUGUUAUGCAGAUGUAGACAUUUUAUUCAGGACAGAAAAUAAGAAGAUGUGAUAUCACUCACUGCCAAAUUAACUGGACACAGAUCGCCCUCUACGGCUAAAUCUAGUAAGGCAAUUUUAGAGCAAUUGAAUAAUGUUUGGAAUUGGAUUGCACAGAUUAAUACUAUUCAUGCUGUAUUUGGUAAUAAGCAAGUUUCAUAUACAAGUAAUAUAUAUAAACUUUGGAAUGGAAUCAACAAAUAAUGUUAUGAUUGCUAUAUUUGGUCAUAAGCAAGUGUAAUUUACAAUGAGUAUAUAUAUAUAUAUAUAUAAACAUUGGAGUUGGAAUCAACAGAAUAUUUGAACCGUCCAUUAGUACCUCAGUUGAAUGGUGUACAUUUAGAAUCCAUGCAUGCAACAGUUAGCUGAGCAAAAACAUUUUCUCUAGUCCUAGUUUGCAUUGCUUUGACUUUAUCUUUAGCUGCCCGCAAGAGGCUUAACCGCUAUGAAUUGUCAAUGGCAACAACAGCCUUCUUACUGCCUGUGAUUUUCUGUCAUCUAGAUACAAAAUGCUGUCAGAGUUGGCAUUUGUAUCAUUAUGUAAGCCCCAAAUAUUAUGAUAUUUAAUAAUGUACAGGUUGAAUUUUUACAUCCAUGUACAUCGGGCUGUAAUAUAUUUAUAUACCUCUCUUUAGAAAUCUAGCCAUCUGAUUGGUCGAAAUUGGAGUCGUGAUUUUAGCCAUUCCCAUAAAGAAUCGAACAAUGCCAGUAAUGGUUAAUAGUUCAUGAGUGAGAUUCCCAAAAGAUUCUGGGAACUGGAAAAAUAGUAACAUUUUGAUGAGAUCCCCGUUGGUUUAGGUGUUAAAACUUACUUUGUGCGAGCGCGGAUACCAUACAGUGCAUAUCGUCUGCGAUUCCCAAAUGAUUGUAACAUUCAGUCAUCUUUCCAGCGAACAUUUACAGAUAGUGUCUCAGAUUUUCUGUAAUUUUUUAACUCAAGAAAAGGAUACUGGCUCUCAUAGCAGUCAUUAUAUCUAUAAUAUCAGGAAACUCUUAGUUUGUUGGAAAUACAAUAUUCCCUAGUUAAUAGAUUAAGAGGACAUAAUAUUUUGUUGGUAUUGAAUUGUUGCACUAUUCAAAGAUCUGAAAUUAAAUGAAAUACUAUAAUUUUCAUGUGAUUCACUUUUACACGAUGAAACCUUGCCCAUCUAACACAUGUAUGUUUUUAAUGUAACCCUCUUACAUGUAGAUGGAUGUAAGUCCAGGUAUCCCAAUCAACUAUUCAGAUCACAGGUCAAAUGUAAUAUGCACUGAAAUACAGGUACUUUAGAGGAUUAUUUUCACCUUGCCACUGCAGCACAACUGAAAUACUUGUGGAGGAAAUUCUGCAGUGCUUUGCCACUUCAAGUGAGAUAUGAUGUACCUUUUAUUACAUCUUUGUUACUCUGAAAGUUAGAACAAGUUAUGUUAAGUUUCUUGAAUCUUGACCAAUACUGACCAAGGAGACACAUUCACAUUUUAUCAGAUUUGUUUGCUUGCUGGCUGCCCAACUUAGAAUUUGAUAAUGAUGUGUCAAGUACCAUGGUAGAAUUUAAUUUUGAUUAGUUAUAAUAAUAGGCAUUUGAAAUUUUGUAUGCCAUCAUAUAUUUGGAACAUCUAUUGUGAGUGGCAUUGGGAAGGUUAAAGAUCUAAACAAGGAGUGCUAUAUCCAUGUGUCAAGCAAAUAAAACAAAUUAUUACAACUUGCAUGUGAAACUUUUGGGGGCUGUUGCAGUUUUUAAUUCCACUGGUACUUUUUCUGUAAAUUGUUUAGAAGCUAUUUUGGAGGCUUGCUUCUUUAAGAUAAAUGAAUAAUUGUGUAUCAUUAGAACCUCUCUAAACAACCAAUCUCCAAACAUUUUCUUCCCCUCGCCCUCUCGGUGUUACUGAGGGUGUAGUUUAUAGAAACAGCUUCCAAGGGGAGGGGGUAAUUGUCUCAAGGGUACUAACUAUCCUGGGGUAGUUAUGACCGGGGGGGGGG